UGUGUCUCGUUACAUAAGAAAUAAAUUUUUAUAUAGGAAAAGAGCGCCUUAAAGUAUACUAUAUAAAAUAUGUAGACAAAUUUCGAUAAGGCGUUACGAUCCCUACAAAACGGAGCUAACUCAUACACCACUACACAUGCAAAUUUUUUCAGCUUUUUACAAACACAUUCUUAGGCGUUACGAUCCCUACAAAACGGAGCUAACUCAUACACCACUACAAAUUUUUUCAGCUUUUUACAAACACAUACACAUUGCUAACAUUUUGUAGUUAAGUGGCAAUCUCGGUAGUUAGAGUAGCAAAAUUCAUUAACCCUAAUUUUUGUAUGUGUAAGAGAGAGAGACAAUGAACCGUUCAAAAAUCGCCGCCAUGGCCGCUGUUCAUUUGAAAAUAAAAUUUUAAGUGAAUGGACGUAAUUAUACGUGUGUGCACAGCAAAGGAGGAGCAAGGAGGUGACGGUGAAAUUAGUGGAGUUUAUGGAUUUAGAAUUGGUGUAAUAUAUAACAACAACAACGCAGAAAACAGUGGAAAGUAACAUGAUAUUGAAAACACAAAUCUUCUUCUGCUUACGCGGUUAUAUCCGAGUCCACAACAGCGCGCCACGCAUCUCUCCUUUUGUUAGUAAGGCGUCAAUUGGUAGUACCAAGUGAAGACAGGUCCGUCUCCACCUGGUCCUUCCAUCGGAGUGGAGGUCUCCCUCUUCCUCGGCUUCCACCGGCGGGUACCGCAUCGAAAACUUUCAGAGCUGAGGCACUUUCGUCCAUUCGAACAACAUGACCAAGCCCGCGUAGCCGCUGUCUUUUUUCGAACAACACCUACAGCUCAUCAUUUCAUCUUCUGCGGUAUUCGCCGUUGCCAAUGUUUAAGGGACCAUAAAUCCGCAAAACCUUUCUCUCGAAAACUCCUAGUGCCGUCUCAUCGGAUGUUGACACCGUCCACGCUUCUGCACCAUAAAGUAGGACGGGAAUGAUGAGGGACUUGUAGAGUUUAGUUUUUGUUCAUCGAGAGAGGACUUUACUUUUCAAUUGCCUACUCAGUCCAUAAACACAUAUACUUUGCACAAAUAGAGGAUUACAAUAGCUACAACUUUUCUUAGGCAUGAUAAACAAGACAACAACAAAUCCCAUCGGACAUUUAGAUUAGCAGUUGCACAACCUCUUUCCGACGAGAUGAACCCUUUUAUGAUGUACAUAUGAGAUAGGAUUGUGUGGAAUUGACAUCAAACAAUAUUGGUUGAGUAGUUUCGUUGGAACCUUACAGAAUAGUUAUAAGGAAAUCGUUCGCGUUUAGCACUAAUGUAUUAAUUUUGAAUUGAUAUAAAUUAUUAAUUAGAUUUAAAUGUAAAAUAUUGUUAAAUUAUACUAAUGAAUGUUCGAAUACUAAUAACAGUCGUGAUAGUAGUUGAAUUUUAUUUGUAUUGUAUGACAACAACUGCAAAAAAUAAAAAUUUAAUAAUUAAUACUAA